GAUGAACGCUGGCGGCGUGCCUAAUACAUGCAAGUCGAGCGAACAGACGAGGAGCUUGCUCCUCUGACGUUAGCGGCUGACGGGUGAGUAACACGUGGAUAACCUACCUAUAAGACUGGGAUAACUUCGUGAAACCGGAGCUACUACCGGCUAAUAUAUUGAACCGCAUGGUUCAAUAGUUCAAGACGGUUUUGCUGUCACUUAUAGAUGGAUCCGCGCCGCAUUAGCUAGUUGGUAAGGUAACGGCUUACCAAGGCAACGAUGCGUAGCCGACCUGAGAGGGUGAUCGGCCACACUGGAACUGAGACACGGUCCAGACUCCUACGGGAGGCAGCAGUAGGGAAUCUUCCGCAAUGGGCGAAAGCCUGACGGAGCAACGCCGCGUGAGUGAUGAAGGUCUUCGGAUCGUAAAACUCUGUUAUUAGGGAAGAACAAAUGUGUAAGUAACUAUGCACGUCUUGACGGUACCUAAUCAGAAAGCCACGGCUAACUGCGUG
rnacentral:rRNA from 1 species